GCUCACACUGCCACGACACCAUUCAUCGAGAGCCGACUCGCGGCGCAGGUCAAAUCGUAUUUGCUUUUUCUUUUCUUUUUAAAACUUUAGAACCGUCUUUACUCACGAAGAGAUCUCGAUGUUCUCUACCUAACUUUAUAUUCGUAUCGGUAUUUAAACCUAUUGUUUACAAACGGCAGUAACCGAGCUCGAGGCCCCGCCUUGACGACAAACAUGGCUUUAAUUUCAAGAUAAGCCUUCUAUUUUAUGUUUUUUUCUUAAGAAUGACAUUUGUCAUCAACCUUUGUGUAAUUAACUUGUUUGAGUGGGCAAAUUUCCGUGGAGAACAGCCUUUACCGAAACCAAACCUUAAUUUCUUUUGUCGACACUGCGCAGCUAGAUAACGCCAGGCUGUUUGUUUUAAAUAUAGAAUAAUGUAACUGACAUAGAAGCCCUGGCAGUGGCCACAAUAUAUAUCUAUUAAAUGGGUUGUGUGAGUCGCCAACUCCACAGGUUUACAUAAUGUUAAUAAAAAAGCUACUUCAGGUCAGUUGUCGUAACGGCAUUCGGCGCAAGAUGGGAGCCGUGACGUAGGAGCCUAUUGGCUAUUGGACGAUUUGAAUAACUUUCUUACGUGGCCCAUCUUAAACUAAAUAGACGGAAAGACUGAAAUGUUUCCAGACGCCAACAAUCGGUGCGAGGCUACAUCGAAAAACUGCAAGUAUUUAUUAAGUCUUCAGUAAUAGAUUGUGUGAGGCUGACGCUUUAUAUACAAAUUUAGCAGUGAGGUUACAAGUUUAAGAGUAACAAACCGAGAAGAGUAGUCGUCAUUAGUGAGGUUAACAAAUGGCACAAUAAAGUCAGAAGUAAAGCGGACUCAACUCAAACGUUAAGGGUUACUUAGCUAUGAAUACCAACAUUAUGAAUGUAAUCGUGUGUCAAUUUUUUUUUUUAACUUUUAAACUACGCUAUAUCUAACUAAUUGAAAGGGAAUUGACAGACCGGUCUCAACCUAAACCGGUUAAAAUCUAAGACUAUUUUCUUUUGUUUUGCCGAAAAAAAUAAUCAACUUUACUUGACGUCAAUUUCUGUGUGUAUACAUUUAUGUUACACUACGCCUGGUUAGACUCGUCAGUCGAUACCAUUACUUGAGCAGGCAUCUUGAGAUGCAUAAACAUUUUUUUAAAUUAUAAUUCUUCAAUUGUACUGGAGCGACUUUUUAGCAUUAGCAUGUAGUCUGUGCAUUGGUCAAAUAAAUAACCAAGGACGGCUACAGUCUCAAAGGCAGCUUGAGGAAUCAUAGCGCAUAGAACCAGAGUUGUAGCACAAGGAAUCACAGGCUGAAGUUAUUAUAUGUGGAGUUUUUUUUCUUCAUUUCUCAAGCUUUUUUUUAUUGAUUAGAGAAGACAGAAGAAUUUUUUUUGGGGGGGGAAAUGGACUGAGUUAUCACGGGGAGGAAUGGACUUAGUUAUUAGAGGAAGAUCGCAGGACCAGCUUGGAGCGAGGCCAUGGGACUCGGGGAGGACCAGAGUGGAGCCAGGCAGGACAGGACCGUGGGGCGAGGGAGGACCAGAGUGCUGCCAGGCAGGACAGGACCAGGGAGGAGCAGAGGUGCCCAAAAGAAAAGGAACAGCAGAUGUGGGCGAUGCGUACACCAGAUGGAGCCAGAGGCACAGGGCAGAGUAGCAGCACAGAGGGACCAUCACUGAAGCAGCAGUUCCAGAGCAAGCCAGCCAGUGAUGAGAGGGUGGGACAGGGCGCACAAGUCUUCUAGCUUCACAUGUUAAAGCAAGGCGGUGGUUUGUAUAAUGGGUAGAGGUAUCUCUGUAACACUCAGUCAUUUAGCUUUUCAAUUACUUUUAGAAACCGAUGUUGUAGAACACAAUUUCUCGCACAGCUCUCUCUUCCUCUUUUCAGGCAACCGGUGUAAGUCGUUUUGUACCGUGGUCACCCCUCCGGUUGUGCGCUGACAUGAGUGUGGUGGUGUCUGCUGUGAUGAAUGCCUUGGUAGUGUGCUGGCGAGAGGAACAUCUUUUCGGACUUCUCGACCCCCUGCAAUCAGAAGUAGUUCCCCCAGCUGGAGAGGGAAGCGGUCUCGUGUCGUUCAAUAGGUUUCCCUGAGAAGUUUCAGCAUUGGAGUGAGAGUGGAUGGUCUCCUGUGCAGCCGAUUGCGUGUAUACCACAACCCUUCAAUGCUUCAGCAACAGCGCCUCAUUGGUACAUCAGCUACAUCUACCUCUUAACCCAGCAGUGAGUCAAUGCAUGAAAUGUACAUGUGGGUGUAACUAUCCUGUACAUGCCUCAUAAUUACCUAUGCUGUAUAGAAUACAGUCAUUUUUUUUUUUAUUAUUCAAAGGAUUUUCCAUUAUGGUUAUUGGGUUAAGGGGGAGGGGAGGAAUUUAAAACGUGUGUUUCGAGUUCUUCUUUUCACAGGCCUGGGCCCCUAAAGCCGAUCAUCGAAAGAAUCCCCUCGCGCUAGCCGCUUGCUACAAGUUGAGCUCAUCUUAUUUUCUAUAGUGCUAUGGAUCGGGAUCAUGUGCAUCUACUGUGGUUUAAAGAAAUGUAGGAAGGUAUCUGGUAUUUUUUAAUAAAUCCAUUAGAUUUUUUUUAUUCAUCAUUUGGAACAUGUUGUAAAUGGGUUAUCAUGCUUUGGGCAAUGUGGGUGGGGGGGGCUUAAUCAGUCUCUCCCUAGAAUUCACAGCUCCAUGUUACCGGCACAAAAGGCCUUGAAUAGGAAACUUCCAGGUGCACCCAACAAGAUGGACACUAUCGCAGGAUAGCAGCUUCAGAACUAGUCUCCAGAUGUAGCAAGACGUUCUGUUUUCCCAGGGAGUGCGGUAACAAGUCUCUUUACUAGAAGUCAUUGUAAUUCUGUACAGGCUUCAAGUUGCUGUGUUGGGUUGGGAGGGGACUGUGUAUUUCUGACUCUUGCAGAUUAAGUUUUAUGGGCCGCCGUUCCAAAAUCUACAUUCAAGUCUUCACCUACGGUUCAUAAAGGAGGAAUCCUUCGCGUUCAGGCCAGUGGUAUUUAAAACCUUCUUCUGGAAAAAGGUUUCCACUUUGAAUUGUAUUCAGUCAAACAGUUGUCCCUCUGAAGGCAGUUGUAAUUAGGAUAACUGUAAUUCCAGUGAUUGUCCUGUAGUGUUGUACUGCUUGUAUUUGGGGAAGGGUAUUGUGGGGAGAGGCUUUUUCCUUUGCAUUUUUCAGUGUGCUGUGUCCUGUGCGCUUUCCAAUACCCAAGAUCACCAGGAACUCCUAACUCAUUGUUUGUACAAGUUCCCUUGCGCAUCAAGCAUCACGUAAGGUCACUAAAUGUAUUCACAUUUCUCUUAACAUUCAUUGUCUGGCUAGAUGCCUCCAUUGCAAUUCCUUUGCAAUUAGUUACUAUACUUUGUAUUGAAAAUACAAUGAGUGAACUAUCUGUAAAGGAUUUUCUUAUUGCAUAAUAAAUGCAUAGCUUGUUGUGAUUGAAUACAGUUUUGGUAUGCAUUUGUUCUUUUUGGGGGCUUGUGUGGGGGAGCUUUUCUUGUGCUUUUUCAGGUAUGACAAAGCUUGGAUCUUUGUAGAGCACGGAUGUGACCUGGGCUCGUAUGCCACCCUUUUCAAAGUGGAAAUUGAAGGCAGAUAAGUUGAAUCCAUCAAAUAUUGAUGUUGGAAGCAAAAAAUUCUCAACCCUAGUGGGUGUCACUUAUCUUUUUAAUGGGUUUAACUGCCCUCAUUGUUCUUGGAAUGAAAGCAACUUGCUAUACUUGACUGUAAGCACUGCUGUGCUUUCUUGUGAUAAGUGGAAGAUUUGAUGGACCUUCAUUGAUUCUGACAUUAUCUGCAGUAAAGCUUUUGGGCGAGGAUAACAAUGGUCAGUUCUACGAUUACCUUGGGGGGCAUAGGGGCUGUUUCUUGUCUACCUCUUGUUUGAUCUUGCAGAACAGUCCGAAGGAAGAAUGCGGUCUACCUGAGACAACACAGGAAUCAUCUCAACCAACAUGCAGUUUGAACAAUGGGAUUCAGAAAUAAGAGUGCGAGACUGGCUCAAGAACGAGUGAAGGCCUCUAACCUGGAGCAUGUAGUAAGAUGCUGGCUUAACUUUUCAUAAUGAACUUCUGCAAUGUUGUAGUUGAAAAAUUUCAUCUUGGAACUGGCUUUAUGUUAACCUCAAAUAAAUAGUAACAAUGCUUUUCUUACUAGCAUUUCUCUUUGGCCACAGGGCCCUACUGCUUUGCAUCUUUAACCAAAAGAUGAGUAGACCUCAAAUCUUUGAGUAUUGUGUGGUGGGUGUUUUGUGUAGAUCACUCUUUGUUUCAGAUCAUCCUCGUCUGUCCACUCGAUCUCGCCUGCCUCUGAAUGCAAAUCAUCUGUGGAAGCUGUCAGCGAAUAUGAGUGUGGCCCCUGAAUGAAGUACCAACCCCCUGUGCGCUUGAGCUUUAAUCUGAAUCCUUGAUGGCCUUCGCAGAAGCCCCGCUCUCUGUUUGUGUGUGUGCCUUUUUUCUUUUCCCUUCGGUUUCUCAGGUUUAACUGCCCAAAUUGUCUUUGUAUGUCAUCUGGGAUGGCCUAACCUGUGUUGGAACACUGAGAAUCCAGUCACAUUAAGAUCAAGAGCUGCAAGCUUGUCUCCCUAAUACUGCAUCACUUCAGUCUCAUGGGUAUUAAGUUAAGUAAUUUCGGUUCCCUUGAUUUUCUUCUUUAACACGCCAUGGCUUAAAUGUGUUACUCAACAUGUUGCAUGCACAUCAGCUCUGCAUAACAUUUUAUUUGUAAUGCACAACAUAAUGUUCAUGUAGUCGUUGUCAAACACUGCAGUAGUGUUCAGUCAAGGGUUUUUCUUGAGGGGGGGGACGGGCAACACUUUUCUCUCUUUUCAGAUUUCUUGUUCAGCUUAACUUGCGACUGAGCCAGGCGACUUAACCCUCUGCAGGGAGUCAUGGGAUGUCUUGGUACAGCCAGCCUCUAGGGUCUUUAUUUCUUUGACGAAUUGUGCAUCGCGGAGGGCCGAUAGCUGUGGUAAAAGGUGCUACGCCAUUGGCGGUAAACAAAAAUUGCACUGAUCAUUUGUCUCAUUGGAAUUUCAGUGUGGGGUUCAUGUGGGAGGGGGUGGGGAGAUUUACAUUGUCUUAUCUUUUUCCCAUUACAGCGUUAAACUUGGAAAGAAAGCCAUACCAGAUCGCCUGACCCGUGAAUCCUGCCGAAUUGCAAACGGGAAAACGAUAUUAUCAGGGAUGCUGGUAUCGUGGCUUUGCUAAUAUGGAUAAAAAGAUAUCUUUGAAUUAGUCAUUCGCCAUUCAGUGUCGUUGUGGGGAAUGCUGGGGAUAGGGGAAACCAGUUGUCUCUUUCUUCUAGUUUCAGCCUCCUGACCGAGAGAAAUCCCCAUGUGGUGACAGAAUAAUAUAGCAGCCAGGUGCUGAGUGGUUUUCUUUUCCUGGGGGAACAAAGUCUUGGUUUUGUUCCUCCAGGUUUUGCUUUUGCCCUUAUUACAGCAACAACAAAAAAGCAAAAGACUCCGGUGGUGGCACUCCUGACUUUGUCAGGACAGGGUUCAAAUCCCUGCGGUGUCUUGCUUUUAAGAAUGCUGUGCAAUGGGGUAUAAACAAAAUUCGAAUGACAGUUGGUCCCAUUUUGAAUUGCAAACCACAAGUUUUGGUUGGUAACAUGAAGAUAUUUUCCCAUAUUGAAACUUUUUUUAUUAGAGUAAAUGAUUAAGUAAGUUUUCGUGUGUCCCAGUAUAAUAUAAAUUCUUAAAAUUUCACAUUAUUUACUACUUGUUUGCAUUUCACUGUGUGAAUCAAAGAUGACAGAUUAUACCAUGGGUAGAAGUGCUUUUUUGAAAUCAGUUAGUUGCACAUGAUUGCAAAUGUCUUGCAUGGCACAAUGAAAGCUGUGAAUAAAAGAGUAAAUAAAUA